GGAAGGGUACAGAGGUCAGAGCUGGGCGCUCAUAACGCUUAGGUCGGGCGUUCGAAUCCCUCCCCUUCCG
rnacentral:tRNA from 1 species